rnacentral:rRNA from 1 species
CCUACGGGCGACAGCAGUAGGGAAUGUUGCGCAAUGGGGGAAACCCUGACGCAGCAACGCCGCGUGAGCGAUGAAGGCCUUCGGGGGGGAAAGAUCUGGCAGUGGGGACGAAACCUGACGGUACCCACAGAGGAAGCACCGGCUAACUCCGUGCCAGCAGCCGCGGGAAUACGGGGGGUGCAAGCGUGGUCCGGAAUCAUUGGGCGUAAUGAGUUCGUAGGUGGCACGUUAAGUCUGGUGUUAAAGGCGGAAGCUCAACUUCCGUAGGGCACUGGAUACUGGCGAGCUGGACUGCGGUAGAGGUAACGGCAAUUCCUGGUGUAGCGGUGUACUGCGUCGAUAUCAGGAGGAACAUCGGUGGCGUACGCGCUUUACUGGGCCGUAAUUGACACUGCGGAACG